rnacentral:rRNA from 1 species
UGAGGAAUAUUGGUCAAUGGACGAGAGUCUGAACCAGCCAAGUAGCGUGCAGGAUGACGGCCCUAUGGGUUGUAAACUGCUUUUGUUUGGGAAUAAUCGACAUUACGUGUAAUGUUUUGCAUGUACCAUUCGAAUAAGGACCGGCUAAUUCCGUGCCAGCAGCCGCGGUAAUACGGAAGGUCCAGGCGUUAUCCGGAUUUAUUGGGUUUAAAGGGAGUGUAGGCGGUUGGUUAAGCGUGUUGUGAAAUGUAGAUGCUCAACAUCUGACUUGCAGCGCGAACUGGCUGACUUGAGUACACACAACGUAGGCGGAAUUCAUGGUGUAGCGGUGAAAUGCUUAGAUAUCAUGAAGAACUCCGAUUGCGAAUGCAGCUUACGGGAGUGUUACUGACGCUUAAGCUCGAAGGUGCGGGUAUCGAACAGG